UAACACCAGCGCCGCAAGUGGUGAUCAUGUUUAUUGGGCCUAAAGCGUUCGUAGCCGGUUUGAUAAAUCUUUUGUGAAAUUGUUAAAGUUAACCUAACAGAGUGCAAAAGAUACUGUUGAACUUGAGACCGGGAGGAGACAGAAGUACUUUGGGGGGAGUGGUAAAAUGCAGUAAUCCUCAAAGGACUGCCUGUGGCGAAGGCGUCUGUCUAGAACGGCUCUGACGGUGAGGAACGAAAGCUAGGGGCGCGAAUCGGAUUAGAUACCCGAGUAGUCCUAGCUGUAAACGCUGCGAGCUAUGUGUUGCAUGUUCUUUGAGGACAUGCAGCGCCGUAGUGAAGACGUUAAGCUCGCCGCCUGGGGAGUACGGUCGCAAGGCUG
rnacentral:rRNA from 1 species